UGCCACGGUAGCUUAACCAAAGCAUCGGUCUUGUAAGCCGAAGAUUGCAAUUUGAUUUUUGCCCAUGGCU
rnacentral:tRNA from 1 species